UGUUUUACUGUACUCAUGCUUAGAAUAAUGCCACCAAGGUUCCUGAUCUGUCAUCGCUGGUCACCAGCCACCUUUGCUGAGAUGUUAUUGUGAAGAAGACAGUGCUGGGCCAGCUGACCACUGAGGAUGAAUUAUGACAUUCCCCGGCUCAACCCACAACACACCAGAAGCAUCUCUUGCUCCAGUUGUAAUAAUAAAAACCAUUUACAGACUCUGAAAAGCAUUUUUGGUUAACCAAGGUACAAGCAGAAAAUACUGGCCAAAUGUGUUCUUUUUUAAAGAGGGAUGCAGAAACUUCCUGUGACAGCUCCAGCAGGUGGUAAAUGUACGUUUUCACAUUAAGAGAAUGAAUCGUGUCUACAGGAGGGAUAACGAGAAGGCUGCGUGGUUUCGAUGCACACUUGAAAAGUGUGGGCUACUUCAGUGCGGGGAAGAUUCCUCACAGCUCAGAACUGAGUCCCAGAAUAUUCCCAGCCAUCUGAUUCCAAGCCCAGAGUUUUGGCUCCUGGGCUGUGUUGCUGGCACUGAAGAAGUGGGAUGGCGUGUUGUUUAAAUCACAGCCCUUCUCUGUUUCCUGGCUAAGUUACAAAACAACGCUGUAGUCGUGAAACUGAAUGUCAUCAACACGCAUUUGUGGCAUGUACAGAGCACGCACGACACUGUAGUAGCGCUUUAGGCAAGUGCGCGAUUGCAUUUGAAAGAGGUGUUGCUGCUUCCUGUAGGAAGUUUACAAACUAAAGGAAGACAAAGGAAAAAAAAAAAUGAAACAAA